CAAUUGGUUUAUUUGAUUGCUAUUGUUGUGAUUUGUUGAUACUGAUUUGAUUGAUGAUUUGAAUGUGAUAAAUCUUCUUACUGAUGUGUUUUUUUAUCAGUUGAAUUUUGCGGAAUGAACAGGUAUCUGGACCUGUCGUGGUGGCAGAUAGUAUGAAUGAGGCUGUUAUGUAUGAAUUGGUGCGUGUUGGUCGUGAUAAUCUCAUUGAUGAAAUUAUUCGUUUGGAAGGGGCUCCGACGCUAUCUAAGGUUCUGCAUAAUUUCACACUACGAUACAAAUCCAAGACGAAACGAUGAGAACUCCGGAAACAAAAACUCAGGUAAGCGUUCAAUCUUGAUUUUCGCUUCCGAUUCUCACUUCCUUUUACUUCUAUGAUGUAAUGCUUUCUAACUCCUCUGUUAAAUUCUUGAGUAAUUAUGAUAAGCAAUGUUGUAGUUUCAUCAUUUCACUAUACAGUCUUUUCAAUCAUGCGUUUCAAUCAUGGGUUGAUUUCAUUAUAGUGUUUUAAGCUACACUGUUAAUCUUCCUGGUGAGUUUAUGUAUUUCUUUGUUCUCUGUAUUUGUUGUUGGAUAUGGAUCUAUCGGAGUUGUGUGUUACAGCGGUUGAAGGUCUUAAUGAUUUGAAUUUUAUGUUUAAUCCAAGUGUUAUUCGUUAUAAGCUGUUUACAAUGUUAUUUGUCAUGAGGAUAAUCCUCAACUCAGAACAAACAUGGAACUGUUAAGGAUCACAAAAGAAAUUGGGAAGGAGAACUAUUGCAUUUUGGAAUCUCAAAUUCAAAUGCUCUUAGGUCGUAUCAGAAUCCAGAGUGUCCUCAAUUUGCAGAGGAGAAAAUCUUCUGCAUUGGUGCCCACGAUAAACAGCAUGUUUUGAAAUGGGAGAAUAGUAUGGCAUGGCAUGGAAAACUCACUCUUACUGAUAAAGCAAUCUAUUUUGAGGAUUACGAAUCUGACAGUGAUAAUGUCGUCUACUUUCAUAGAAAAUAUUAUUUUCUUUCAUAGGAUUUCAUAAGAGAUUUUUGAAUGAAUUUUGGCUCAACUGUUCAAGAGAAUUGGAAGCCUUGAAAAGAGCUUUGAAGGGACACCAAAAAUUGCAAAACCAAAAAGGAGUAGUAAUAAUGAGACAAAUCUUGAUACAUGGCGCAUCCAACCCAAAACACGAAAGAGAUUUGAAGAAAAUACCGGUCUGUUAUGGGAGCACAAAAUCGAGUGAAAAUAUCAACCACAGAAUACAGCAAGAAUCAAUCAGAUGCACAAUUCAAUUUUAUUUAGGUUCAAACACAAUAAAGCAGAGCAACAAUAAUUCGAGUGAAUUUUACAGGUAC